rnacentral:rRNA from 1 species
UACAGAGGUCCCGAGCGUUGUUCGGAUUCAUUGGGCGUAAAGGGUGUGUAGGAGGUCAGGUAAGUCGGAUGUGAAAUCUCACUGCUUAACAGUGAAAUGGCAUUCGAUACUACUUGGCUAGAGGAUCGGAGGGGAGAGCGGAAUUCUUGGUGUAGCAGUGAAAUGCGUAGAUAUCAAGAGGAACACCGGUGGCGAAGGCGGCUCUCUGGAAGAUUCCUGACUCUGAGACACGAAAGCCAGGGGAGCAAACGGGG